rnacentral:rRNA from 1 species
GACGAACGCUGGCGGCGUGCCUAACACAUGCAAGUCGAACGGAAGGACGCGGGUUUUGUGGGGGUGGCGAGUGGCGAACGGGUGAGUAACACAUGGGUAACCUGCCCUUGACUUUGGGAUAACUGCAGGAAACUGGGUCUAAAACCCGAUAGGAGCUCCUGCUGCAGGGGGGGGGUUGGAAAGCUUCGGCGGUUGGGGAUGGACUCGCGGCUUAUCAGCUUGUUGGGGGGGUAGUGGCUUACCAAGGCUUUGAAGGGUAGCGUGCCUGAGAGGGUGAGCGGCCACCUUGGGACUGAGGGACGGCACAGACGGCUAAGUGAGGAAAAAGUGGGGAAUAUUGAACAAUGGAUGGAAGCGUGAUGAAGAAGCCCUGCGUGUGGGAUGACGGCUUUCGGGUGAUAAACAGCUUUCGCCUGUGAAGAAGCGUGAGUGACGGUAACGGGUAAAGAAGCACCGGCUAACUACGUG